rnacentral:rRNA from 1 species
GACGUAGGAUGCGAGCGUUGUCCGGAUUUAUUGGGCGUAAAGAGCGUGUAGGCGGCCAGAUAGGUCUGCUGUGAAAACUCGAGGCUUAACCUCGAGCUGUCGGCGGAAACCAUCUGGCUAGAGUCCGGAAGAGGAGAAUGGAAUUCCCGGUGUAGCGGUGAAAUGCGCAGAUAUCGGGAAGAACACCCGUGGCGAAGGCGGUUCUCUGGGACGGUACUGACGCUGAGACGCGAAAGCGUGGGGAGCGAACAGG